GACGAACGCUGGCGGCGUGCUUAACACAUGCAAGUCGAACGAUGAUGCCCAGCUUGCUGGGCGGAUUAGUGGCGAACGGGUGAGUAACACGUGAGUAACCUGCCCCGGACUCUGGGAUAAGCGUUGGAAACGACGUCUAAUACUGGAUAUGAUCGCCGGCCGCAUGGUCUGGUGGUGGAAAGAUUUUUUGGUUGGGGAUGGACUCGCGGCCUAUCAGCUUGUUGGUGAGGUAACGGCUCACCAAGGCGACGACGGGUAGCCGGCCUGAGAGGGGGACCGGCCACACUGGAACUGAGACACGGCCCAGACUCCUACGGGAGGCAGCAGUGGGGAAGAUUGCACAAUGGGCGAAAGCCUGAUGCAGCAACGCCGCGUGAGGGAUGACGGCCUUCGGGUUGUAAACCUCUUUUAGUAGGGAAGAAGCGAAAGUGACGGUACCUGCAGAAAAAGCACCGGCUAACUACGUGCCAGCAGCCGCCGUAA
rnacentral:rRNA from 1 species